rnacentral:lncRNA from 1 species
GAAAAACUCCUCCAAAAAUCCUAUGGGAAAAAUAUUGAGGAGAAACCAAUUUGUAUGUCCAUAUGCCAUUAAAACUCCUUUAAAACCCAGUGGGAAUAUAAGGAGAAAAUGAUAUAGCAUAUUUAGAUUAUUGUCUCAUUCCAAACCCAUAUGAGCAAAACCUUGAAAAGGAAAACCCAUAAGUUUGGAGAUCAAUAAUAUUAUGAUAUGAGGAUCAUAUUCGAAUAACCUAUCCCAAAACUCAAUGGGAAAAUAUGAGAAGG